rnacentral:rRNA from 1 species
GAGUUUGAUCGUGGCUCAGGAUGAACGCUGGCGGCGUGCCUAAUACAUGCAAGUCGAGCGAACAGACGAGGAGCUUGCUCCUCUGACGUUAGCGGCGGACGGGUGAGUAACACGUGGAUAACCUACCUAUAAGACUGGGAUAACUUCGGGAAACCGGAGCUAAUACCGGAUAAUAUAUUGAACCGCAUGGUUCAAUAGUGAAAGACGGUUUUGCUGUCACUUAUAGAUGGAUCCGCGCCGCAUUAGCUAGUUGGUAAAGUAACGGCUUACCAAGGCAACGAUGCGUAGCCGACCUGAGAGGGUGAUCGGCCACACUGGAACUGAGACACGGUCCAGACUCCUACGGGAGGCAGCAGUAGGGAAUCUUCCGCAAUGGGCGAAAGCCUGACGGAGCAACGCCGCGUGAGUGAUGAAGGUCUUCGGAUCGUAAAACUCUGUUAUUAGGGAAGAACAAAUGUGUAAGUAACUAUGCACGUCUUGACGGUACCUAAUCAGAAAGCACGGCUAACUACGUGCCAG